ensembl:snRNA U7 U7 small nuclear RNA
AAAUGUGUUCUUUUAAUAUUUCUCUAGUAGGUUUUCUGAAGGAGAAAGCCUCC